GGGAAAGGCAAUGUAUUUAGUGGAUAGCAGUCAGAUAUAUUUUCCUGCCUGCUGCCAGGACAAUAUGCCAUUUCUUUAACCAGCCGUACUUUAAGUCCUGCUCCUGUGUUUGGCUGGGAGAUGAAGAAGAAAAAUCCAUCCCUCUCUACUGUUAAUGAAGAAAGUGCAGGAAAGAAUAUGUGUUGCCAACUCUUGAGAAUACAAAGGAAAACAUUAGGUGAAAUCGAGCUGUAUAAGAUUGCUGGAAAUGACAGAUGUGCCUGCAAAAGAUCAGGACAAGUGAAAAAGGAAAAAAGGAAGAAAAGGAGCCUGAACAGGUUCACCAUAAUGCAUGGCUGGUGAGAAAGGUCUUCUCUUGCAUUCUACAGUCUGGAAAGCAGAUAACUAUGGGAAUACACUAUGCUUCUGUGUCAGUAUAUAUGCUUCCCUUGAUUCAUAUUGGAUUUUUACUAUGAAACUUCCCCAU
rnacentral:lncRNA from 1 species